GACGAACGCUGGCGGCGUGCUUAACACAUGCAAGUCGAACGGAAAGGCCCUGCUUUUGUGGGGUGCUCGAGUGGCGAACGGGUGAGUAACACGUGAGUAACCUGCCCUUGACUUUGGGAUAACUUCAGGAAACUGGGGCUAAUACCGGAUAGGAGCUCCUGCUGCAUGGUGGGGGUUGGAAAGUUUCGGCGGUUGGGGAUGGACUCGCGGCUUAUCAGCUUGUUGGUGGGGUAGUGGCUUACCAAGGCUUUGACGGGUAGCCGGCCUGAGGGGGUGACCGGCCCCAUGGGGCUUGGGUACCGGCCCGGACCCCUCCGGGCGGAAGCGGUGGGGAUAUUGCACAAUGGGCGGAAGCCUGAUGCAGCAACGCCGCGUGCGGGAUGACGGCCUUCGGGUUGUAAACCGCUUUCGCCUGUGACGAAGCGUGAGUGACGGUAAUGGGUAAAGAAGCACCGGCUAACUACGUG
rnacentral:rRNA from 1 species